AAGGAAGGAAAAGCAAAGACCAAAGCAGACACAGAACGCAUGGAAUACGCCACGGAAUACAGUACAAUCAUGAACUGGAGCAUCAUCGAUCUGGAAGUCUGCGACGCCCGGACGUCAAGCCUUCGAGCAGCUGCUCCAAUCGUCGUAUUAUUAUUCUUAUUGUCGUUGGCAUCGUUGCUGUCGCUGCCAUUGCAGUUCCUCUCGGCAUCGUUCUUCCGCUGGUCUUAGAAGACAAAGAGUACAGUCCACCAAACGUCACAGUUGAAGUAGAGGGCGUCACUGCAGCUCACGUGGGCGACCACGUGACAGUCUGGUGCAGGGUGAGCAACAUUCACACGUUGUCCUCCAUUGAUUUCCUGUACAACCGGUCGGUCGUCGCUUCCUUCAGCAUCAAAACUGAAAACGUGUCCAACUUACACCCGAGGUUUACGCUCGCGGUAAUCUUAAGGAGCAUGAUGGGUACAGCCUCAAUCUGACCUUUGACAAAUGUCACGUGCAGUGACGCGGGCAGGUACACGUGUCUGGCGCGAGACGAGAGGAAGGAUGUCGAGAAAUGGACGAGACUGAGUGUCAUGGUA